GAUGAACGCUGGCGGCGUGCCUAAUACAUGCAAGUCGAGCGAACAGACGAGGAGCUUGCUCCUCUGACGUUAGCGGCGGACGGGUGAGUAACACGUGGAUAACCUACCUAUAAGACUGGGAUAACUUCGGGAAACCGGAGCUAAUACCGGAUAAUAUAUUGAACCGCAUGGUUCAAUAGUGAAAGACGGUUUUGCUGUCACUUAUAGAUGGAUCCGCGCCGCAUUAGCUAGUUGGUAAGGUAACGGCUUACCAAGGCAACGAUGCGUAGCCGACCUGAGAGGGUGAUCGGCCACACUGGAACGGAGACACGGUCCAGACUCCUACGGGAGGCAGCAGUAGGGAAUCUUCCGCAAUGGGCGGAAGCCUGACGGAGCAACGCCGCGUGAGUGAUGAAGGUCUUCCGAUCGUAAAACUCUGUUAUUAGGGAAGAACAAAUGUGUAAGUAACUAUGCACGUCUUGACGGUACCUAAUCAGAAAGCCACGGCUAACUACGUG
rnacentral:rRNA from 1 species